rnacentral:rRNA from 1 species
UGAACGCUGGCGGUAGGCCUAACACAUGCCCGUCGAACGGCAGCACAGUAAGAGCUUGCUCUUACGGGUGGCGAGUGGCGGACGGGUGAGGAAUACAUCGGAAUCUACUUUUUCGUGGGGGAUAACGUAGGGAAACUUACGCUAAUACCGCAUACGACCUACGGGUGAAAGCAGGGGAUCUUCGGACCUUGCGCGAUUGAAUGAGCCGAUGUCGGAUUAGCUAGUUGGCGGGGUAAAGGCCCACCAAGGCGACGAUCCGUAGCUGGUCUGAGAGGAUGAUCAGCCACACUGGAACUGAGACACGGUCCAGACUCCUACGGGAGGCAGCAGUGGGGAAUAUUGGACAAUGGGCGCAAGCCUGAUCCAGCCAUACCGCGUGGGUGAAGAAGGCCUUCGGGUUGUAAAGCCCUUUUGUUGGGAAAGAAAAGCAGCAGGUUAAUACCCCGCUGUUCUGACGGUACCCAAAGAAUAAGCACCGGCUAACUUCGUG